rnacentral:rRNA from 1 species
UGAGGAAUAUUGGUCAAUGGGCGAGAGCCUGAACCAGCCAAGUAGCGUGCAGGAUGACGGCCCUAUGGGUUGUAAACUGCUUUUAUAUGGGAAUAAAGUGAGGGACGUGUCCCUUAUUGCAUGUACCAUAUGAAUAAGGACCGGCUAAUUCCGUGCCAGCAGCCGCGGUAAUACGGAAGGUUCGGGCGUUAUCCGGAUUUAUUGGGUUUAAAGGGAGCGUAGGCCGUUUGGUAAGCGUGUGGUGAAAUGUAGGAGCUCAACUUCUAGAUUGCAGCGCGAACUGUCAGACUUGAGUGCGCACAACGUAGGCGGAAUUCAUGGUGUAGCGGUGAAAUGCUUAGAUAUCAUGAAGAACACCGAUUGCGAAGGCAGCUUACGGGAGCGCAACUGACGCUGAAGCUCGAAGGUGCGGGUAUCGAACAGG